CCACUUCGCCAUACUCAUUUCUCUCCGUUUAAGACUUUCUUAGGUUACUAUUCAGCUCCAAUGGAGGUUUCCUUUGUGCUGGGAAACGGAUUCCAACCCGUAUCUUGUUUAUCCACAACCCGACCCGCCAAAAUUUCCAAACACAUCCCCGCAACCACAUUGGCAACGCCGCCGCCGCCGCCGCCGCAAAGAGUCGCGACUCGUGCACCUCCGAACGGCACAGAAAAGCACAGUGGAGCACCGAGAAACCCGACGAAUGUCACCAGAAACAUUCCGAAUAAUCUAUCCGCCUCACGUAAAGCCAGAGAAUCGGCAAUUACGGAUAUUCAGGAUUCCACCGAACUGGCAUCUGCUCUUUCGAGAUCAGGAGAAGUUUUGAAGGCACAAGAUCUGAAUAUCGUGUUGCGUCAUUUCGGGAAGCUAUACCGAUGGAAGGAUCUUUCUCAGCUUUUUAAUUGGAUGCGGCAGCAUGGGAAGACUAAUAUUGCUUCCUACAGCAGUUAUAUAAAGUUUGUUGGGAGGGAUUCUAAUGCUACAAAGGCCGUAGAGAUAUACAACAGCAUCAAAGACGACUCCACAAAGACCAACGUCUCUGUUUGUAAUUCCACUUUAUAUUGUCUAAUCAAGAGUGGCAAGUUUGAAAGCGGCCUUAAGCUAUUUAAUCAAAUGAAGCAGGCUGGUUUAGAACCUGAUAUUGUGACUUAUAGUACGCUACUUUCUGGGUGCACCAAAGUUAAGGGUGGUUACAUCAAGGCAAUGGAAUUGGUUCAGGAAAUUAAGUGUAGGAAGUUGCAAAUGGAUACUGUAAUAUACGGAACACUUAUAUCAGUUUGUGCUUCAAACAAUCAACGUGAAGAAGCAGAAAAAUACUUCAAUGAGAUGAAGAGUGAAGGUCAUUCUCCCAAUGUGUUUCACUACAGCUCUUUGCUUAAUGCGUAUGCAAUUGAUGGGAGCUACAAAAAGGCCGAUGCAUUGAUCGAAGAAAUGAGAUCUGCUGGUAUAGAAUUAAAUAAGAUUAUUCUAACAACUCAGCUGAAAGUAUAUGUAAAAGGCGGCUUGUUUGAUAAAUCAAGAGAACUACUGGAUCAACUGCAAGCUCUAGGCUAUGCUGAAGAUGAGAUGCCGUACUGUUUACUGAUGGAUGGCCUUGCUAAAUCUGGGAAAGUUCCAGAAGCCAAAUCACUUUUCGACGAAAUGAGGCAAAAAGAAGUGAAAAAUGACGGUUUCUCCUACAGUAUUAUGAUUUCAGCCCUCUGCCGCAGCGGGCUCAUCGAAGAAGCAAAGAUGUUGGCUUGUGAAUUUGAGACCAAGUACGACAAGUACGAUGUGGUUAUCUUGAACUCGAUGCUCUGUGCAUAUUGUAGAUCAGGAGAAAUGGAGAAUGUGAUGAAGACGAUGAAGAAAAUGGAUGAGUCAUCGAUUAGUCCUGAUUGGAACACCUUUCACAUUUUAAUAAAGUAUUUCUGCAAGGAGAAGUUGUAUUUGCUCGCCUAUCGUACGAUGGUGGACAUGCACAAGAAAGGUCAUCAGCUUGAGGAGGAUCUCUGUGUUUUUUUGAUCCAUCAUCUCGGUAAAACCGGUGCCCAUGCAGAAGCAUUUUCAGUGUACAGUAUGUUGAAGUAUAGCAAGAGAACAAUAAACAAGACCCUUCACGAGAAGAUUUUACAUACUUUACUCGCGGGUGGGCUUUUUAAAGACGCAUAUGUUCUGGUCAAGGACAAUGCAAAAUAUAUAUCUGAGUCUGCUAUUAGGAAGUUUACAACUACCUUUAUGAGAAAAGGCAAUAUAAACUUGAUAAAUGAUGUGAUCAAGUCUAUCCACAGCUCUAGUUACAAGAUUGAUCAGGACAUAUUUCACAUGGCGAUUUCUCGUUACAUUGAGCAACCCGAAAAGAAGGAACUGCUUCUUCAUUUGCUACAAUGGAUGCGUGGUCAAGGCUAUCCUGUUGACUCAUCGACGAGGAAUUUGAUUCUUGAGAAUGCCGAGUUGUUUGGACGCAAUUCUAUUACAGAAAUAUUGUCUAAGCAUUAUGCUGCGUCGAAGAGAUUUUGAGAGUUUGGAGUUUCAGAUAUAUUCACAGUUUAAUUCAGCCUACAAGUGAUAAAAAUUCCUCUCGAAACGAAUCCUCAAUGAAUUUGCUUGUGGUUGGGAAUGUGGCCUUAUGAAAGUCUACCUUGUGCGCACAAGAGCCUUGGUCUCUGGUUUAAUUUAUUUUCACGCUGAUUCUGCGCAAGUUUUAGGUACUGUAACAUCUACGAUAAAAAGUCGUCGCCAAGUUGAAUGCUAGAGAUGAACAGUUAUCAGAUCAAUAAUUUUGCAUGGGAGAACAGGGUUUUCCCGACCUAUAAACAUAUGCUGAAGAUACAAUGCAAUAUUGGUAUUUAAGAACAAACUAUAUGUCACUUCUCUUCAUUUUAUAGGUUCUUGUAAAAUAUAGAAAUAUGUAAAAAAAAAUCUAUUUGUAUAUAUUUGAUUCAGCUAUUACGAAGUGUUUCAGUUUCA